GUGGACGCCCUCACGGGCUUAUACUAUUCCAAACCUCUGUGAACCGUGCCCUUCGGGGCUAUUUUACAAACAUGGUGUAAUGAACGUCAUAUAUCAUAACAAAACA
rnacentral:misc_RNA from 1 species